UACAGAGGGUGCGAGCGUUGUCCGGAAUCACUGGGCGUAAAGGGCGCGUAGGUGGCGGGCCAAGUCAGUGGUGAAAGCUCGAUGCUCAACAUCGAGUCGGCCACUGAUACUGGUUUGCUUGAGCACUGUAGAGGCAGAUGGAAUUCCGGGUGUAGCGGUGAAAUGCGUAGAUAUCUGGAGGAACACCGGUGGCGAAGGCGGCGUUCUGGACUGCAACUGACACUGAAGAACGAAAGCCAGGGGAGCAAACGGG
rnacentral:rRNA from 1 species